CCCCAGCAAAGCUCAGUGGGCAGGGGUUCCCAGGGGCUGCACCACCCUCACCCCCCACAAAUGCAGGUCCUCCAGGGUUUGGUAGUGGGGACCCUGGGACAUCCUCCUGGGAACACCCCUCUGGCUGCUCCAAACGCACACCUGAUCGUUCAAUCAAGAGCUAGUGGAAUCAAAAAAGUUUCUGAGCCCAGGGCUUCUCAUUCCUUUCUGUUUUAUGACGUGACGGCUCUUAGACACAUGGGAGUGAAAGGAGCGUGUCUGAGCCCCAUUGUCCAUCCUCCAGAUUCGACAGCCAUUACUGUUUUUCACACACACACCCUCAUCUUUUCUUUCCCUUCCUUUUUCCUUGUUCAUUUCCACCAUGUUAAAGCAUCCACCAUCAGCAGUUGCUUUGCCCCAAUGAGCCUGAGUGAGCACCUUGGACACGUGCCUGUCCUGUCGUGCUGCAGUGUCACCAGCGAGAUGGAGGGUGUCCCCGGGUCCUCAGAUGCCUUUGGCGGCUGGUUUAUUUGCACCAGGAUCACUACCAGCCAUGCCACAGAAAGAUGUUAUGCAUAUAUUCAGAGGUCUGUGCCUCCCUGAGUGAAGAGGUCAUGUGAGGUCCAGGACCUCUGUGCUCUCGGGGCCUGAGAGGAAGUGCCCCCGACUGACUAGCGGGUCCCUCUGCCUCUGCAGCUGCUUCCUUCACGGACUCAGCACCUACUAAGCACAGGCCCCUCGAGGCUCAGGUUCGAGCACCCCUCCCUCAUUAACCUCCAUCUGUAGGAUGAGGAUGAUGAUGUGUUCUUUGCCCUGUCACUCUCCCUCCCUUAAUGGCCACUCGUGGGCCGGUCCAAGCCCUGAAGCCCCAUCCACAUGUCAGAAGCCACAGCCCUCCUGGUCAUCUUCAGCUGAAACACAGGGUCCUCAUGGCAUGGGCAGGUUCCAGGGCACCUGCUUCUCGGAGACACUGGGCAUCCGGCCACACCUGACCUUUGUGAGCACACAGAGACUGUCUGUGCGCAACUCCAGGCCCACUGCUGUGGACUGAAGGGUCACCCCCAAAUUCAUAUACAGAGGCCCUCAUCCCCAGUGCAGUGGUGGGUAGAAAUGGGGCCUUCGGGUGGUGACUGGGUACAGUGAGGUCAUGAGGGUGGGGCCCGCAUGAUGGCAUUGGCGUCCUUGUAAGAAGGACUCCAGAGAGCUCUCUCCCCCACUCCGUGUGGGGACGCAGCGAGACAGCAGCUCAGGGAGGCUACUUCCCAGCUGGGCUCUGGGAAACACAGCGCUGCCCCUUCUCUUCCCCACCUCGGCCUCCACAGAGCUCGCUUUUCAGGCUGGCCUGGCUGCUGCAGGCAGGAGGCCGCCUCCGAGGAUGGGGAUGGAGGUCAGCUCAGUUGGAUGAGAUGAGCAAGAGGGAAUUGGAUGUUUUGCUGCCGUGUUAAGUCUUCAGCUUGACCCAGAGUUAAAUUAGCAUUGACUACGACUGGCUCCUGAAUCUACCUCCCCAGUAGCUCGGAGCCCACAUUGGAAAGCGGGGAUUGAGGCCCUGAGACCCCAGCAUCUUGGAGACAGAGACCUGGGCCAUGUCAGGCUAUAGAGCAUCGCGGCCGUGGGCCGGGAUGGGGACGUUCAGGCAGGUGAGUGGGCGGUCCAGGAGGAGGAACCAGGCAAGGAGGCUGGGAGGAGCUGGCGGAGGCCCCAGGCCCCGGGGCUGUGUGCUGUCCCCAAAGCCCUGGGCGAGAUGACUUCAGGGAGAAAUGAGACCUCAUGGUGCCUCCUGUCCCCAAGAGGUGGCGGCCUCAGGGGGGAUCUGGGAGUGGAAGCCAGGCUGGAAGACCUUGGGAGUUACAGGAGAGGAGCAGGUCCUGGGAGCCAAAGACCCGGAUCCAGACAUGGAGCUUCUCCGUAAAGUGGGAAUGACGAUUCCUGAUCUGUCUGCCUCGUGGGAUUGUGUGAAAAACGAACAUACUUUUUAUGGAUGCAUCCACUUCAUUGGACAAAUAUGUACCAAGGGCCACUGGGCACUGGGAACGGAGAAGACAAGUUCUCUGCCAUCAGAAGGUCACCAUCUAAAGAGGGGGACAGGCAGACAGCCAGACAGCAGCAAUGCCCGUAAAAAGGAGAUCAUUAAUAAUAGCCGUGGCGCCCUUUCGCACGCCAUCAACACGGGCUAAGUGCUUUGCCCUCAUUAAUCUCAGUUAAUCCUCGCAACAGUCCUGCCAAGAGGGACUAUUCCCACUGGAGGAGAAUUUAAGGAGGAAACUGAGCCUCUGAGAGGCGGAGUAACUUACCAGCGAGGAAGGGGUGUCGCCAGAACUUCAAAAGCAAGGCGCUGUGUUUGAGUCCUGAGUGGUGAUGAUAAAUACUCCGUUCCCCACGAGAGCAAGGGGUCAGAGGACUCUCAGCUUUGCUCCAGACUGAAGCACUUUGAAGAUGAGCCCCCACAGGCUGCUAAGCCAUGGUAGAGCCCAGAAUGGACGCUGAGCUGACAAAAUGUUCAUUCUGACCUUGGCCAAGAGCGCUGACCUGGCCGCCUGGUGAUGACGGCCACCAGAGGGCGCAAUGGAUCCACCUUCAACCAGACUUCCCAACAGGGUUUGGUUGGGACCCAGAAAGCUGAGAAAACGCACACAGCCAUGUGCAAGGUCAGACGCUGAAAAGACUUGGCAUUAGAUAUUAUCAAGUCCAACACCCUCCAGAGAAGGAGACUGAUACCUCUGCCACUCAGCCAAGGGCACUGGGUCAAGAGGAAAAGUCUAGGCCCAGUUGGAAAAGAUCUAAAGCCCAAGCAAGUGUGAAUUGGCUGAAAAGCUUUACGUGGCAUUAUAUUGUCAUACCGCAUAGCUGGCCCGGCCGGAGAUGGACCAGACCCCAAUACUGGGCAGAGCGCUCAGUUCUGCAGGUGCAGUAAAGAUAGACACCUCAGGGCAGACCCUGAAGAAGGACCCCAGCAACAGAGGGCGGUGGAACCCAGGCUGCUCAGCCUCGUCUCUGUCGAUGCCUUCUAUUACCAGAAGGGCUGUGCAUGGACGAGGAGCUUGGUGAGUUCCAGGCGGCUGUUACUAUUAUCUUCAGCUGGCUCCUUCUGUGCAAGCCUGUUCCUCCCCGUGCAGACUCUCCAGCGCCAGCAUGAGCUGCUGUCUCGUGGGGGGACGUGAGCUCUGUCCUGGGAGCUGUCUGAGCAAAGCCUGGAGGACCACCUUUGGGAGAUGCUGGAGGGCAAUUUGGGUGGCAGGGAAGACACACUGGGGAAGGCGGGUAGAUCCUGCAAUGAAUCCAAGCCACUCCGCUCUAGCAGGCUGCCCUGGUGGCCGCUCCCACACGCUGCUUCUGGUGCCUCCAUUUCCAAAUCUAUAAUCUGCAUAUUGGAGGUCCUGGACAAGAUCUGUACGUCUCAAGCUUUUCCAUCCAAAGACCCCUGAUACCCAACUUGCCCAAGCAAAGUCCCCCACAGCAGUCUCCUGAGGCUCAGAACAGCUCUUUCUUCCCUUCCCGUCUCAGGCACAUAGUACACACUCGAAUAAAACUCGUGUUGGCUGACUAGUAGGUCUCUGGGGAUUUAUUCUGCUUAAACAGAACGGAAGCUCAUGUUUAUGGACUCUCUCUCUCCUCGGUGUUUGUGUGGUGGAACUCGCCUGCCUCUCACACAAUUCUGGGGGCGGGUAUCUUACCGGCAUGCACGUUUUACAGAUCAAAAACACAACAGCAGCAAACAAACAUGAAGAUAGGGGAGAACAGAUCGGUG
ensembl:lncRNA